CUUACCCUCCUCUUUUACUAAGGAAUGCCCUACUAAAGACCCUAUGCCUCACUUCCAUUAGAAAUAGUCCCAUAAGGAACACCACUAUUGACUGUUGACAAGUAUAUUCAAAGAUUUCCAAAUUUCAUAUUUGAUUCUAGUUUACAUUUUUUUUGAUAAGCGAGAGCAGAAUAUAUAUUAAAGCAGGCCGAAAGGCUGCACCGCAUACAGGAAGUAUACAAAGCAGCCACAAGGCCAAAAAAACAAAAACAAGAACACCUCACCAGCCCUUAGGGGACGGCUACCCACUCCAAGAAGCCUAAAAGUGAAGAGGACUCCUCUCCCCUAUACAACUUAGCCCAACUCCACAGACUACAUACAAAAGAGUUCUUAAGAGUCUGAAUAGCCAAAGAACCCCCUCUAAAAGCUAGCCUAUUUCUUUCUUUCCACACCGUCCAAAAAAUAUAUAACGGAAUGAACUUCCAUAUCUUCUUCUUAAGAGUCUGAUUCUAGUUUACAUUUUAUUCUAGGAAUUGAGUAUUUUAACUUCCAUAAGCAAGGAGCAUAUUUGCAGUGGUUGUAUUUUACUCCUUG
rnacentral:lncRNA from 1 species